rnacentral:rRNA from 1 species
UAGGGAAUCUUCCGCAAUGGACGCAAGUCUGACGGAGCAACGCCGCGUGAGUGAAGAAGGAUUUCGGUUCGUAAAACUCUGUUGUUAGAGAAGAACAGCGCAUAGAGUAACUGUUAUGCGUGUGACGGUAUCUAACCAGAAAGCCACGGCUAACUACGUGCCAGCAGCCGCGGUAAUACGUAGGUGGCAAGCGUUGUCCGGAUUUAUUGGGCGUAAAGCGAGCGCAGGCGGUCAAUUAAGUCUGAUGUGAAAGCCACCGGCUCAACCGGGGAGAGUCAUUGGAAACUGGUUAACUUGAGUGCAGAAGAAGAGUAUGGAAUUCCAUGUAUAGCAGUUAAAUGCGUAGAUAUAUGGAGGAACACCAGUGGCAAAGGCGACUCUCUGGUCUGUAACUGACACUGAGGCUCGAAAGCGUGGGUAGCAAACAGU